CAGGCCUAACACAUGCAAGUCGAGGGGCAGCGGGGGCAGAGCUUGCUCUGCCUGCCGGCGACCGGCGCACGGGUGCGUAACGCGUAUCGAACCUCCCCCAUACUCGGGAAUAGCCUUGCGAAAGUAAGAUUAAUGCCCGAUGGUCUCAGAAUAUGACAUCAUGCUUUGAGUAAAGAUUCAUCGGUAUGGGAUGGCGAUGCGUCUGAUUAGAUAGUUGGCGGGGUAACGGCCCACCAAGUCGUCGAUCAGUAGGGGUUCUGAGAGGAAGGUCCCCCACAUUGGAACUGAGACACGGUCCAAACUCCUACGGGAGGCAGCAGUGAGGAAUAUUGGUCAAUGGUCGGAAGACUGAACCAGCCAAGUAGCGUGAAGGAUGACUGCCCUACGGGUUGUAAACUUCUUUUAUGCGGGAAUAAAGUGCCCCGCGCGUGGGGUAUUGCAUGUACCGCGUGAAUAAGCAUCGGCUAAUUCCGUGCCAGCAGCCGCGGUAAUACGGAGGAUGCGAGCGUUAUCCGGAUUCAUUGGGUUUAAAGGGUGCGCAGGCGGCGCUCCAAGUCAGCGGUCAAAUCCGGGGGCUCAACCCUCGGCCGCCGUUGAUACUGGUGCGCUUGAGUAGGUGCGACGGAGGCGGAAUGCGUGGUGUAGCGGUGAAAUGCAUAGAUAUCACGCAGAACCCCGAUUGCGAAGGCGGCCUCCGAGCCCCCGACUGACGCUGAGGCACGAAAGCGUGGGUAUCGAACAGGAUUAGAUACCCUGGUAGUCCACGCGGUAAACGAUGAAUACUGGUUAUCCGGUCCGACUGGGGAUUGGGUGACUCAAGCGAAAGCAUUAAGUAUUCCACCUGGGGAGUACGCCGGCAACGGUGAAACUCAAAGGAAUUGACGGGGGCCCGCACAAGCGGAGGAACAUGUGGUUUAAUUCGAUGAUACGCGAGGAACCUUACCCGGGCUCAAACGCAUAGAGACUCGCGGUGAAAGCCGCGUUCCCCUCGGGGCUGUAUGCGAGGUGCUGCAAGGCUGUCGUCAGCUCGUGCCGUGAGGUGUCGGCUUAAGUGCCAUAACGAGCGCAACCCCCAUCUCCAGUUGCCAUCGGGUGAUGCCGGGCACUCUGGAGAGACUGCCGGCGCAAGCUGUGAGGAAGGCGGGGAUGACGUCAAAUCAGCACGGCCCUUACGUCCGGGGCGACACACGUGUUACAAUGGCGGGGCACAGCGGGAAGCCAGGCGGCGACGCCGCGCCGAUCCCCAAAACCCGUCUCAGUUCGGAUCGGAGUCUGCAACCCGACUCCGUGAAGCUGGAUUCGCUAGUAAUCGCGCAUCAGCCAUGGCGCGGUGAAUACGUUCCCGG
rnacentral:rRNA from 1 species